GGUGGAGAGAAGAGAGAGAAGAGAGAGAAGAGAGAGAAGAGAGGUAGGCUAAGGGGUGGAGAGAAGAGAGAGAAGAGAGAGAAGAGAGAGAAGAGAGAGGUGACUGGAGGUGACUAGAAGAGAGAGAAGAGAGAGAAGAGAGAGAAGAGAGAGAAGAGAGAGAAGAGAGAGGUGACUGGAGGUGACUAGAAGAGAGAGAAGAGAGAGAAGAGAGAGAGAGAGAGGAGAGGAGGCUGUCAGAAGGGGUGGAGAAGAGAGAGAAGAGAGAGAAGAGAGAGAAGAGAGAG